CCUACGGCGAGCAGCAGUGGGGAAUAUUGGACAAUGGGCGAAAGCCUGAUCCAGCCAUGCCGCGUGUGUGAAGAAGGCCUUCGGGUUGUAAAGCACUUUCAGUGGGGAAGAAAGCCUUGGGGCUAAUACCCUCGAGGAAGGACAUCACCCACAGAAGAAGCACCGGCUAACUCCGUGCCAGCAGCCGCGGUAAUACGGAGGGUGCGAGCGUUAAUCGGAAUUACUGGGCGUAAAGCGCGCGUAGGCGGUCUGAUAAGCCGGUUGUGAAAGCCCCGGGCUCAACCUGGGAACGGCAUCCGGAACUGUCAGGCUAGAGUGCAGGAGAGGAAGGUAGAAUUCCCGGUGUAGCGGUGAAAUGCGUAGAGAUCGGGAGGAAUACCAGUGGCGAAGGCGGCCUUCUGGACUGACACUGACGCUGAGGUGCGAAAGCGUGGGUAGCAAACAGGAUUAGAUACCCUUGUAGUC
rnacentral:rRNA from 1 species